rnacentral:rRNA from 1 species
CUAGCCGUAAACGAUGGAUACUAGGCGUUGAGAGGAUCGACCCUCGUAGUGCCGUAGCUAACGCGUUAAGUAUCCCGCCUGGGGAGUACGCGCGCAAGCGUGAAACUCAAAGGAAUUGACGGGGGCCCGCACAAGCGGUGGAGUAUGUGGUUUAAUUCGAUGCAACGCGAAGAACCUUACCAGGGCUUGACAUGUCCGGAACCCUGCCCAAAGGUGGGGGUGCCUACGGGAGCCGGAACGCAGGUGGUGC